GAUAAUGGACAGGCUGCAUUUAUUCAUGCUUGUUGCCAUGGCAACGAUACUCAGCCUUUUAAUGCCAUCUGAUGCCGGACGCGGAGAUGGGUGCAGAUAUUAUAGGAGGAUGUGUAAACACGAAGGAACACGCUACGAACGAUGGGAUACAUGGUCCACCGAUGAUUGCUAUGACUGUACGUGUCUCGGGAAAGGCUAUGGAUAUAAAUGCUGCCAGGACUUUUGGUUACCAAUGAUAUUCGAUGAGAAUCAAUGCGAAGCCGUCUGGGAUAAGGAAACCUGUUCCUACUCCGUUGUGAACCGCGACCCGACCGACACAACGCCUUGUGAAAUCUUCGCUGGAAUUCUGAAAUAGAUAUAGCGCCAUCUAUAAACAACCUCUGUAUAGUACUGUUGAUUAUUUUUAUUCUAAACCAUUGAUCCCUAUAUUUCUGUUAAUGAAAAAGACGAGUGUGCUAAACGGGGAAAAUGCCAGGGAAAUUACAUUAGUUUAGUAUAAGAUUAGACCAAUCGUUUUAUUUUUUUUUUCAUAAUUAUAAUAAUUUUUUUUCUGUAAUCGAUUAUAUUGCCAUAUGUAAAAGGAAGGAAUUAAUAAACUCAUUAAUUUCAUAAUACAUGGAUAACUGAUGAAAUAACGAAUUUCAUUGAUGCAGAACGGUUCUUAACAUUUGCUCCGGCGACAAUGGCUCCGCUGUGAAUUCCACACACUAAUGGAAUCGCCAACUUCAACCCUGGAAUUAUACCCUUUCCUAAAUCUAACAUUAACCCUAUUGCAACCCCAACCCUAUAUCUUAGUCGAAAUUAAGCCCGCAGGAAUUGUCGCAGGAGCAAGUGUCGUGUCACCAUGCAGAACAUACAGAUAUAUUGAUUGUCAGUGAUAACGCCUUGAUUGGAUCAUCAACAAAACAAGCGGAUCUUGAAAUUAUUCUAGCUUUGCAAAAUUACUAAAUUUCAUUCAGUGCCGAACUAUUGAAAUAGCCAAGUGUAAGUUAAACAAUGAAUGAUGUAUUUCUGGUCAUACAUAAUGCCAGAGAGUCGAUAUUUUAAAAAAAAAAUUAAUAUCAUUAGUAUUAUCGUUCAUGAUUUUUUGUUUAAAUUUUGUUUAUGGAGAGAGGGUUUGGGCAUAAUUUUGUGUUUUAUCUGUUAUCAUUCUAAACGGAGGACAAAGUGUUUCUUUGAAAAGAUGAUAAUUAAUCUUUCUUUGUGAACAGUACUAGUCUAUACACUCUAAAUUCCAAGGACUUAAAAUAAAUCCAGAUCUGAUGUGAAUAGUGACCAGCCGAAUUUUGAAUUCAUUUUAAAUCUUAAGGAUUAACUUUUAAAUCUCAAAAGAUUUAUAUUCCAAUCUUUUAGAUUUAUAUUUAAAUCAAGGUUUAAAUUCAAUAUUCGGCUUGCCUCUAUUCACAGCCGAUCUGGAUUUAUUUUAAAUCCUUGGAAUUAAGAGUGUAGAUUAUCAUAUUUGUCAUAAUAUGAUAUCAACAAGUCCUUUUCACACUCUUAACACUCCCCACCCAGGGUGAAAGGUCACAAAUGUGCAUGAGUCAUGCAUUGACGUAUUGCCAAUGAGCUUUUUAUGAAGCGUAUAAAUUUUCGUCCCAUCAACGUUGCCCUAUACGAUUUUCCAAGUACCGAAAAAAACAAACGGGUGAAAAAUUAAAGGGGGAGAAAAAAGAAGAAGAUUAUAUUAAUAGGGAAUUAUCUGUCGUCAAACGAUAUCAUACGUUUUAUUCCACUGAGAAAAAUAUUUCGUCAAUUCCUGCCCCAUAUAUCGAUUGAUGUGUUCAUUGAUGUAUUCCUUAUUGUACAAUGCAAAUUAAUACAUUUUGUUUGUUCAACGUAAAACGUUC